AGCGAACGCUGGCGGCGUGCUUAACACAUGCAAGUCGAACGUGAAAUGUAGCAAUACAGAGUAAAGUGGCGUACGGGUGAGUAACACGUGGGUAAUCUACCAAAGUGCCUGGAAUAACCGGCCGAAAGGCUGGCUAAUACUAGAUAGUUCAAGCGAAUCGUAAAUGGUUCGAUUGGGAAAGGGAGCGGGUAACCGCCUUCACAUUUUGAUGAGCCCGCGUCUGAUUAGCUAGUUGGUAGGGUAAUGGCCUACCAAGGCUGUGAUCAGUAGCUGGUCUGAGAGGAUGAUCAGCCACACUGGAACUGAAACACGGUCCAGACUCCUACGGGAGGCAGCAGUGGGGAAUCUUGCGCAAUGGACGAAAGUCUGACGCAGCCACGCCGCGUGAGUGAAGAAGGCCUUCGGGUUGUAAAGCUCUGUCGGAGGGGACAAAAACUGGAUUGGUUAAUAGCCUUUUCAAUUGAUGGUACCCUCAAAGGAAGCACCGGCUAACUUCGUG
rnacentral:rRNA from 1 species